UGUCAUUGAAGUCACCUCAUACUUAACUACAGUCUAGUUUCAAACACUCUACUGCCACGAGGAAAGAAAGCCGCUCGGGGGAUG